rnacentral:sRNA from 1 species
AAAACGGCUAAGCUUAAUAAUGCAUUUGCAUUAGCACAUAACACUUUCAGUCCAUCAUUAUGGACACAUUAAAGUACCUGUUAAUAGUUAAAAUAUUCCUGAGUGUGUUUCUUCUACCAAUAUCAAUGAUUGAGAUCAUAGAAGUGGAUGAAUUUCAGCCAGACCCUACAUGUUUGGGCACUGCCCAAGAGUGUGAGGUUCGACCCCAUUGUUGUUUAUCCAGGUUCACCAUUGGCAGUGGUUCCUCGCAUGAAAAACUAUCCACACCUAGAAAGACUUGGAAUAGAUUAGGACCAAUAUGGGGAUAAUUACAA